rnacentral:rRNA from 1 species
AGGACGAACGCUGGCGGCGUGCUUAACACAUGCAAGUCGAGCGGUAAGGCCUUUCGGGGUACACGAGCGGCGAACGGGUGAGUAACACGUGGGUGAUCUGCCCUGCACUUCGGGAUAAGCCUGGGAAACUGGGUCUAAUACCGGAUAUGACCUCAGGUUGCAUGACUUGGGGUGGAAAGAUUUAUCGGUGCAGGAUGGGCCCGCGGCCUAUCAGCUUGUUGGUGGGGUAAUGGCCUACCAAGGCGACGACGGGUAGCCGACCUGAGAGGGUGACCGGCCACACUGGGACUGAGACACGGCCCAGACUCCUACGGGAGGCAGCAGUGGGAAUAUUGCACCAUGGGCGAAAGCCUGAUGCAGCGACGCCGCGUGAGGAUGACGGCUUCGGGUUGUAAACCUCUUUCAGCAGGACCGAAGCGACAAGUGACGGUACCUGACAGAAGAAGCACCGGCUAACACGUAGACCAGGCACGCCGC